rnacentral:rRNA from 1 species
AUGAAUGGAAAAAUAGCGAUUGGUUAUUUCACACCAGGCGAAACCGAGAAGCUAAAUGUUCCUUUUUCAUGUGCACAUAGGGUUUUGCUUGCACAUAUAAUUCUCACUAACUUUAAAUGCAUACUAUUUUCCCUCCGUUGCAACGCACGGGCAUAUGUGCUUCAUAUAUAUAUAGUUAUUCUUCACCCCCCCUCUAUUUUAACAUCAAUGCACCGUAAUUUUACGUUUCGUAAAUUUUGUCUUAUUUUAGACGUAAAAAGAGAACGUAAGAAAAUAUAUAAUUGCCGUAAAAAAUAUUUUAUAUUACGUAAAUUACAAAUGUAA